rnacentral:rRNA from 1 species
AAAUUGAAGAGUUUGAUCAUGGCUCAGAUUGAACGCUGGCGGCAGGCCUAACACAUGCAAGUCGAACGGUAACAGGAAGCAGCUUGCUGCUUCGCUGACGAGUGGCGGACGGGUGAGUAAUGUCUGGGAAACUGCCUGAUGGAGGGGGAUAACUACUGGAAACGGUGGCUAAUACCGCAUAACGUCGCAAGACCAAAGAGGGGGACCUUCGGGCCUCUUGCCAUCAGAUGUGCCCAGAUGGGAUUAGCUAGUUGGUGAGGUAACGGCUCACCAAGGCGACGAUCCCUAGCUGGUCUGAGAGGAUGACCAGCCACACUGGAACUGAGACAC